CAGGUCAUUCAACAUUUAUUCAACCAAAAAUACUAAGUCAGCUCUAUACAAACUAAUGGAAGGAUACAGCUAUGCAAAUAUAGAACACUAAAGUGUUACAUGACAGAUGUAUGAGAACUGGGAAGAAAGGACCCUGAAAAGUUAGCUGGUUCCAAGUGACCCUCCAAGGGGAAGAGUGCUGGAUUCAGAGCCCACCUCAGGGGAAGACAGGACCCUCUCCAAGAUGGUUUCCCUAGAAGCUACUACCUCUCCCUGGAGGGUGGAGAUAUUUGCUGGUCAAAGCAAGAAGGCCCUCUGCAGAUGCUGACACCUUGAUAUUGGACUUCCCAGAUUCCAGAACUCUGAGAAAUAAAUUUCUAUUUUAAAUAAAUUACCCAGUCU
rnacentral:lncRNA from 1 species